UACGAAGGGGAGCUAGCGUUGUUCGGAAUUACUGGGCGUAAAGCGCGCGCAGGCGGCUAUCCAAGUCAGUGGUGAAAGCCCGGAGCUCAACUCCGGAACUGCCAUUGAAACUGUUUAGCUGGAGUAUGAGAGAGGUGAGUGGAAUUCCCAGUGUAGAGGUGAAAUUCGUAGAUAUUCGCAAGAACACCAGUGGCGAAGGCGGCUCACUGGCCCGUUACUGACGCUGAGGCACGAAAGCGUGGGGAGCAAACAGG
rnacentral:rRNA from 1 species